rnacentral:rRNA from 1 species
CGGUGGAGCAUGUGGUUAAUCCGAAGCAACGCGAAGAACCUUACCAGGCCUUGACAUGCAGAGAACUUUCCAGAGAUGGAUUGGUGCCUUCGGGAACUCUGACACAGGUGCUGCAUGGCUGUCGUCAGCUCGUGUCGUGAGAUGUUGGGUUAAGUCCUGUAACGAGCGCAACCCUUGUCCUUAGUUACCAGCACGUUAUGGUGGGCACUCUAAGGAGACUGCCGGUGACAAACCGGAGGAAGGUGGGGGAUGACGUCAAGUCAUCAUGGCCCUUACGGCCUGGGCUACACACGUGCUACAAUGGUCGGUACAAAGGGUUGCCAAGCCGCGAGGUGGAGCUAAUCCCAUAAAACCGAUCGUAGUCCGGAUCGCAGUCUGCAACUCGACUGCGUGAAGUCGGAAUCGCUAGUAAUCGUGAAUCAGAAUGUCACGGUGAAUACGUUCCCGGGCCUU